UUCGUUCAUCUAUCUAGACGGAAGUAGGAUUAAAAUUUAUCCGAAGGAACGCAUU
rnacentral:ncRNA from 10 species